rnacentral:lncRNA from 1 species
CGGAGAGGAGUCAGGGUGUGUGAAUCACGUCAGCCCUUCAGACGAGGUGAAACGGAAAUAACAUAUUUGCAAGACAAUAACCACAACCACAUCUAUGACUAGAAAAUCCUAGAAAAUUCUGUGCUACGUAAUAUAAAACCUCUCAGGGUACAAUCCACCAACCUGGAAGUACUAUUGACUGAAUUAUGCUCAUAACUGAGGAUGAUGACCUACAGGCAAACUCUGAUAGUGACCAGGUUGUUCUUGCAGAGAUUUCGGAGUGAAAUCCUAGAUCAAAAAAGAAAAAAAGUUAAAUGAGCUUGAACAAAUGACAGCUAAGCUUUUCUUGUCAUUGACUGCUCCUGACUGCUGGGAAAAGAGCUGGAAGUUCUGAAAUAUCAAAGCAAAAUCUGUUCCUGCAAGAUUUCCAUCAGAGAGAGGAUUAACAGUCAACAAAUGAACAUCAGUGCAGUAUCUUUUGAAGUUUCUCCAUCUCUAUUGGUGAUGCUAUAGUGACUCUGUUGUUCCUGGUCUUCUCUUUCUAAAGUCUAUUUGCUUUUUUUUUUUUUUUUUUUUCUUUUGGGACAUUUAAUGUAAGUUACUGUAUUUGAAUUUCUGACUCAUCCUCUGUUGUCUGGUUCUGCGUACUGAAAAGUAUCAUUAUAUUCAAAGAGAACUGGUAACUGAAAUUAUAUAGGCUGUCAAUGUUCUCAUUCAGACUUCUCUUCAGCAUUAGAAUUCUGUGUGGUGUUGCAUGCUGUUAGUUGAAGAUUUAUUCUUGAACUUUUUAUUUUCACAAUUCCUUAUUAUCUAAUAACUAUACAGAAAUGUUAAUAGUCUUAUGACUAAACAGGUCAAUAUUCAUAUGAAUAUAUAUUUUUACUUGUUUAAUCUCAAUGAAAUAGCCUAGUAGAAAUUUAACACAUUUAAAACAUUCAAAUAAAAGCUUUUUUUACCCAAUCACAACAACAGCAACAACAAAAACAACAACAAAAACUCUAAUGCUCUUUUUUUGCACUGAAAAAAUCACCAACAUUAGAGUAACUUACAAUGAUAAAUCUCAAAAGACUUAUAUUCUUUAACUCAAGUUGAGACCAUUUGCUUAUUAUACAGGUUCACUGACCCAAAUCUUCUUCAUUCUACAUUAGAGAACUUGACCUGAGAUUUUCUUCUCCCUUCUCCCAGAUAUCACAUAAUGUUAUUUUUGCAUUUUCUGUUGCUGUAAAUAUUUAAUUAGCUACACAAAGUGAAACUAUUCCAAGAAGGAUGACAAAUUCACACUUAAAGUCAUUUGCAAUUGAAAGCUUUUGUAUGCACUGUAAAAUAAAGAUUCUGAACCCAUUUUUUCUUUUAUUUGAAGAAAGAUCUUUGACUUAUGAUUUCUUAACUAUUAAGAGGAAAUCUGUGCUUUGUCUAGCCUCUGCUCUGUUUUCUAGAAAAAAUCAGAAAAGUCCUAUUUGUGUCUAGUGUUUAUGGACAUUACCUGCCCAUUUCUUGCUCCUGGCUGAGUUCCAUACAGCCACUAGAAAUCUGAUUUAGCAGGCAAUAUAAGCAUGCUGAAUCACACUAAGCAGUUCAAAAUAAUGUGAUUAAUCUGUUUGUUUCAUUUACCGCAUUCAGAUUUAUGUAGAAACUGGUGAGAGAAGCCCAGGAUCUUAUCAUCUAACAAUUAAACUAAUCUUGCAGUAUAUUUUAUAAUGUGACUCUAGGAUAAACCCCUACCAAAAUUGGCUUU